rnacentral:ncRNA from 1 species
GACCCAUGUCCGAAUUGUCACCGUAUGGUGCGCGUGCCGAUGGCUAGGACAUGGGUUUUUU